rnacentral:rRNA from 1 species
GGGGUAACGGCCCACCAAGGCAUCGAUCGGUAGGGGUUCUGAGAGGAAGGUCCCCCACACUGGAACUGAGACACGGUCCAGACUCCUACGGGAGGCAGCAGUGAGGAAUAUUGGUCAAUGGCCGUAAGGCUGAACCAGCCAAGUAGCGUGAGGGAAGACUGCCCUAUGGGUUGUAAACCUCUUUUAUGCGGGGAUAAAGGUGUCCACGUGUGGAUGUUUGCAGGUACCGCAUGAAUAAGGACCGGCUAAUUCCGUGCCAGCAGCCGCGGUAAUACGGAAGGUCCGGGCGUUAUCCGGAUUUAUUGGGUUUAAAGGGAGCGUAGGCCGGUCUUUAAGCGUGCCGUGAAAUUUUGUGGCUCAACCAUGAGAGUGCGGCGCGAACUGGAGACCUUGAGUGCGCGGAAGGCAGGCGGAAUUCGUGGUGUAGCGGUGAAAUGCUUAGAUAUCACGAAGAACCCCGAUUGCGAAGGCAGCCUGCCGCAGCGUUACUGACGCUGAAGCUCGAAAGCGCGGGUAUCGAACAGGAUUAGAUACCCUGGUAGUCCGCGCGGUAAACGAUGGAUGCCCGCUGUCGGCGAUAUACAGUCG